rnacentral:rRNA from 1 species
AGAGGAAGUAAAAGUCGUAACAAGGUCUCCGUAGGUGAACCUGCGGAGGGAUCAUUACACGAGGCGCGGACCCCCCUCGGGGGGCGAGCGCCGCCUUCACACCCAUCCUUUGCCUACGCGUACCCCCAUAGCUUCCUCGGCAGGCCCGCCUGCCGCCAGGAACCGACCAAACCCCUUGCAUGUACACAAAACCUCCGAUACCAACACGAAUUAUCACAACUUUUAACAAUGGAUCUCUUGGUUCUGGCAUCGAUGAAGAACGCAGCGAAAUGCGAUACGUAGUGUGAAUUGCAGAAUUCAGUGAACCAUCGAAUCUUUGAACGCACAUUGCGCCCCUCGGUAUUCCGUGGGGCAUGCCUGUUCGAGCGUCAUUUUACCCCUCAAGCCCAGCUUGGUGUUGGGCGUCUGUCCCGCUCUCGCAGCGCGGACUCGCCCCGAAGACAUUGGCGGUGGCCCUGUCGGCUCCUCGCGCAGUACAUCUUGCGCGUCUCGGAGGCCCGGCGGACCCCGCCAGCAAGCUUACCCCACGAAUUGACCUCGGAUCAGGUAGGGAUACCCGCUGAACUUAAGCAUAUCAAU